rnacentral:rRNA from 1 species
GACGAACGCUGGCGGCGUGCUUAACACAUGCAAGUCGAACGGUGAGGCCCUUCGGGGUACACGAGUGGCGAACGGGUGAGUAACACGUGGGUGAUCUGCCCUGCACUUCGGGAUAAGCCUGGGAAACUGGGUCUAAUACCGGAUAGGACCCUGGGAUGCAUGUCCUGGGGUGGAAAGCUUUUGCGGUGUGGGAUGGGCCCGCGGCCUAUCAGCUUGUUGGUGGGGUGAUGGCCUACCAAGGCGACGACGGGUAGCCGGCCUGAGAGGGUAACCGGCCACACGGGGACUGAGAUACGGCCCAGACUCCUACGGGAGGCAGCAGUGGGGAAUAUUGCUCAAUGGGCGCAAGCCUGAUGCAGCGACGCCGCGUGGGGGAUGACGGCCUUCGGGUUGUAACCCUCUUUCAGCACCGACGAAGCGCAAGUGACGGUAGGUGCAGAAGAAGGACCGGCCAACUACGUGCCAGCCGCCGCUGUAA